GUGUGUUGUAUGUGUGUUUUUAUUGACAUUACAAACAUUUAAGUUGUCUGGGACAAAAAUGGCGUUUACAUCCAUGUUUGACGGGUGACCAGGGGUGCUCAGAUUUCUGCAGUCAUGAAACGACGCUUCUGCAUUUCACAUGAAAUUGAUGGGAUCUGUUAGGUGAACUGAGAUCUAUUCAGAUUCUGAGGAAAAGCCACCGAUUCAGAGAAUCUCUCCCAUGACCAGCAGCUCCAUGCAGCCACAAGCUCCUCUCCACCUUCACUCCCACAUGUUCUCCACCUUCACCCUCUCAUCCACUGUGAUGAUCCACCAGCUGCUCUGUGUUCACCUGUUGCUUUUCCGCCCAGUAACUCCAGUAACCGACUCCCUUCAACUGGAAACCUCUGUUGGCUUGAUCUGUGAGGGACCUGCUGUCUGCAACAUUUUAUCCAAAAUACUCUCAAACCACCAAGCGGAGCAGCAGAGCAAACGGGGUGGAGAGAGAAGAGACGUCUCUGGUCACCAGCACUUAGUGACUGAAAUAUUUAGCAACUAUAAACUCAUUUACCAGUCAGUCUAAAAUUGUGUGAACUGUUGUACAUUCAUAGACUUUGUCGUGUGCAUUUCUCCUGUAGCCAAUGAAACAUUUUGUUUCAUAAAACCAUGAAACAUUUCUUUAUGAUACACGUCUCAGUUUAAAAUGUAUAUUUUGUCUGUUUCUGAGGAACCAAUGGUCAGAUUUGGAUCACCAAUACAAUUUUGAGAAGGCUCCAGGCUGUCUGGCUUGUUUUUUUUGUUUUUGUUUUAAUUAGUUUGUGUAUGUGUCAACGCUCAUGAAAUAUCUCUUUUAAAAUCAUAUUUUUAAGCUGUGGUUGGUUAUUAAAUGCUGACUUUAUCUUGAUUUAUUAUUAUUGUGAAUGUCUUUUCUGA